GCCGGAGUGGCGGAAUUGGCAGACGCAGCGGACUUAAAAUCCGUCGGGCCUCGGCCCUUGCCGGUUCGAGUCCGGCCUCCGGCA
rnacentral:tRNA from 1 species